ensembl:lncRNA
UAUGGCAUGAAAUGCUCUUUCCUUUGAUGAGAUUUUCCACAAAAAAGUCAAAACUACUGGUCUAGUGGAUCAUAUAUUUAAAUGGUGUAAAUAACAAAAUAAAAUUCUAGGCAAUGACAGUCUCACAAUCUUAGAAAAUAAAACCUAAACUGUUCAGUUGAGACAGUGACAUGAAAUUGAAUUCCCCUUAUCCUGUUGAUAAUAAUCCUCCACAAUCCAGCAGUUAAUUGUUUUAAUAAGAGUUGAACUGCAGUUGACUUGCCCAGGAGACCCUAAUGGUGGACCUGUUGUUAGCCUGGACGAUGCAACAGAGGCCCAUCUGUUCCGCUCCUGAAUGAUCAUAAGGCCAGGCUGAAGCAUCUAAAUAUAGAAGGGCCAAAUUAAAAUCAAAUGACUCAGAUGCUUGAUGACUGAGACGAGUGGCUUCAGUCAGUCGGUGCACUGCCUGCCUUUGGAGCAAACAUGCAAGCCCGGAGUCACUUAUUCCACUCCGGGUCACCUCUCAAACCUUCAAGUGUUAGAGGAAGGAGGUUGGUGGUAUGGGAUGGCGGGGGUUGUGGGGGAGUGAAAGGAAGACGGGUGGAGGGAGGGACGACAGAAAGGCUAAAUCAGUUGGCCGAGGAGAGGAAGCUCUGUCAUAUCCAGGAGGAAGUGUGAGUCAGUCGUUGUACAUUCUUCAAGGCUGAUUCAGCGCUGUACAGGAAGUGGGAAAUGCUUACUGCUGGGCUUUAACACCAGGAGGGAAAGAACCUCGUCUGGAGCGGUGUAACUGUAAAAAUUGUCCCCAGUAAAAAAAAAAAAAAAGGAAAAAAAUUGAGAACACACACGCGUAAUAUUUUGUGCACGGAAAUGACUGACUCAUUGCUUACAAGUUCGAAGGAGGUGGCUGCCACUCAAAAUAGAUUUAACACAGACAACAGAAAGAAGAAGAAAGACUGUAUCAACAGGGAGAGCGGCAAAGAGCUGUCAGAGAAGAGGAGGGCAAAGGGUAGCGCUCUGGGUCUUCCUCUUUUUCUUUGCUCCCCAGAAAUCCCCCCUUCCCUCUCCCAUCACUUCUCAGAUUUCACAGUUCCCGCUAUAGCAAUUUAACUCCUUCUGUUCCAGUAAAAAAAGCGUUCAGUUUCAGCUACAUCCAAGUGCUGUAAGUCACUCAGAAGGAGGAAGUGAAGGUCUGGCACAGAGAAAGGCUGAAAGCUUGCUUAAUUGUGCCACUAAUACGUCAGUCUACGUUUGUUCCAAUCGAGUUCGAACUUUGGUGUCACUCAGCUGAGGUUUUCCAGGUUGUGACCUAUAUUUCAGUUCAAAGCCAAGGUUGAUGACAUCAUGGUGGCCAUGUGGGUGGCGGUGGUGGUGAAGGGGAAAGAGGUAGUUGUUUAUAGGAUGUCUUCCCCCAUUUAUACACCCAUGGACAGUCUGUCCCACCCAGACUCUCAUGGUCACUGCCCCCGUCCUCGUGAUAAAACGCUAGCUUAUCACCAGUUUCCAUUCAGCU